AUUUCAAGUCGUAAUUCUAGCCUAUCUAAAGGUGAUGGAGGAACAUAUAAGCAUGUCAGCUCUUUGGAAUGCUCUUCUGAUGAAUCUUUGCAGGGUAAGCAGAGUAUGCAGAAAUUUUUUGUUUGUUUUGAAAUUUAUUUUUUUCAAUGUUUUUAGGUUUAAUUUGUAUCUGUCUUUGCAGGGUAAGCAGAGUAUGCAGAAAUUUUUUUGUUUGUUUUGAAAUUUAUUUUUUUCAAUGUUUUUAGGUUUAAUUUGUAUCUGUUUUGGAAUGAUGUUUAACUUUAUUGAACAUAUUAGGA
rnacentral:lncRNA from 1 species